rnacentral:rRNA from 1 species
GCAAGUCGAGCGCGCCCUUCGGGGCGAGCGGCGGACGGGUUAGUAACGCGUGGGAACAUACCUUUCACUACGGAAUAGCCAUUGGAAACGAUGAGUAAUACCGUAUACGCCCUUCGGGGGAAAGAUUUAUCGGUGAAAGAUUGGCCCGCGUUAGAUUAGAUAGUUGGUGGGGUAAUGGCCUACCAAGUCACCGAUCUAUAGCUGGUUUGAGAGGAUGAUC